ACCUCUCUCUCUCCCCUGUGCUCUUCGCCGCCGCCGCCGCUGCCGCCGCCCUGCCUCACCCCAUCUCCUUCCCUUGGCCGGCGCUCCACCCAUCCGCUCUCCCCACCGCCCCCUCUCAUCUCUCACAUCGCCUCCUCCUCCUCUCGCUCCUCGCCUUCCACGCCGUCCCCGCCACUAUCGCCGCUCCUCCUAUUCUUCCUUGUGCCCCCUUCCAUCCCCUCCUGUGGCGGACGAUCCUCUCGACGAUGGAUGUGGGAGAGGGAGAAUCCGGGAAGGUGGGCGGGUCCGGGUCAACAUAGGGUCGAUUUCGAGGCCUCUCAUGGCCGCGCCCACACCACCUGUGCUCCUCCCCUCCUGCGGCGCAGCUGCUGCUUCUGGAGCUCUGUUCGGAAAGGAAUACGUCUAGCCGCCGGCCAAUGGAAGGCCCUCAUCGGCCUCGCGCCUCCGCCGGCCUCCAAUCCCACGCAUCCAGCCCCUGAUUCGUGCACGCGGCAAAACGGCCGCUGCUGCCGGAGCGCCAUUCGUCAGCGAGGAGGCCCAGAGUGACACCGCCGCCGGCGCCGGUGCUCCCCAACGUAGCCACUCCGACGACGGCCAGGAUUGUUACUAUCUGUCUCAAGUUCCUUGAAGUCAUGUACAUGCUCAUGCCCGCGUCUGAUUUGUUCUCGUGGUCGUGUUCCUGCCGUAGCUGCGUCCACGGUUGUGCAGAUGGCUUCUAUCACCCUUGCUGAUCUAUGUUGUGGAAGACAAAAUCAAAUGCUAUGUGUCCGGGUGUCUCGGCUUACGCACUUCCGCAGCGGUUUAGAGAGCGGUCCUAUCAAGCUCAUACACAUGGUCAUCAUCGACGUGCAGGGUAACUGCAGUUAUGCAGUUGUACCAACAUCAUUUGCCGGUGCUUAUUUACAUGUCUUACAAGAGCGGAUUAUCUAUAAGCUUGGCUACUUGAUGGUCUGGCCACUGCUAAACAUACUGAAUCCUGCUGCAGCUCCACGCAUGAGUUUAUCUUAGGUACCACUGAAAUUUAACUAAUAAUACGUAGCAUCUUGCCACCUAACAGAUUCAUAUGUGGUCACUAAAUUCAAUGUCUAUAAACUUUUCUGUACACAUAUACAGUUAGCAUAUUGAUUGCAUUCUCUACUCUCAUAUGGUGUUGUAUCUUCAACUACUUGCAGAUAUAUAUUUUCUAACUUGGUUUAGUUUUAUUAAUGUCUCGCCAAGCAUGAUGGAUGCUUGCUGAAAGGGGCAUUGUCUGUACUUUUCAUAGUGCAAAACGACAUGUUAUGGCAAGAUUGAUCGUUUGGUAGAAUGAUUACUCCUGCAUUAUAGCGCUACCUAUGAAAAUUGAAAGGAAGAGUUGUGGUGGUAUCACGUGGAUGAUUUUCGGAUUAUUAGUUUGCCUCUCAAUGAUUUGUUCAAUAUUGGAGGGUCAUUUGCUGAGACUUGGUUUGUGCCAUGACGUUCUUUUGAAUUGCUAGUACACUUUUCUUUGUGAUAUUUCUUUACAUUUGCCUAUGAAAAAAGGCGCUACGUAAAUUCCAGUUUUACCUGAGAUAAACUAAUGGUGUUGUAUCUCGUAUGUCCUGUUGAAUAGAAGGAAUCAAGGAAAUGAUGGCGUUAGUCUUGAUCUGGGGAAGUGUUCAGUUCACGUAUAGGAUAUAUGCCAUUGAUACCAGUACAACACAGUUUUUGUUUGUUGCAAGGUAGCCUCUCUUUUUUAUUUGCUGGUUCCUCAGACCACUACCUUUUCUUCUUUAGAACUUACUCCAAGUGACAAGUACUGAUAAGCAUAUCCCUCAGAUCACUACAUUUCCUUUAGAACACACACAACAUAUCCAGACACACUCGGGUAUCACCCUCUCAUACACAUGGGUAAUACUCAAGAUGGCAAUGGGGACGAAACCCAUCGGGGUUUGCCUUCCCAAACCCAUCCCCACGAGAAAAUCAUAAACCCGUCCCCAUCCCCAUCACCAUGCGCGGGGCUAGUUUUCCGCCCGUCCCCUAAACCCAUCGGGUUUCGGGGAACCCACGGGGGACCCACAAGAAAAUCAAAAUAUUUAAACAAACAUAGUGGCGACAAAGAAUAACAUUUCAGCAGCAAAACAAGCACAUUUCAGCAGCAUAACUUGAGCAAAUUUCAACAAAAAACAAUAUUAGAUGGUUCAACAGCUAUAUAGAAUGUAUUUCAGCAGCAUGACACCACAUUUCAGCAACAAAAAUGAUCAGAUUUCAGCAAGAAAGAUGAUAAGCCAUACAUGGUUCAACAAGAUGUGCAAUUACAUAAGUUUUAAAAUAGAAUUCUUGGUUUGGCCUUCAACGUUGGGGGGUGGGGGCUCGGUCGCUCAGGCUCGAUAGCUUUGGUUUGGGCCGCACCGGAUCAGUGCUUGGUAAAAAAUGUAUUUUCCUGGGUUUGCCGGGUUUCGGGUUCGGGGACUGCUGAAACGGGUGCAAACCCACGAAACAUGUCGGGUUGUAUAAUGUGCCCAACAACAGCCCCACGGGGAUGAAAAUAUGCCCAUCCCCGUCCCCUAAUAGGGUAAAAACCCGCGGGGACGCGGGUUUCGGGGCCCCAUUGCCAUCUUGAGGUAAUACCCUCUAUCUCUAACAGUAUGCAGACAUAUUUUCUCUUUGCCUGUUCAAUUUCUUUCUCGUUGCUCUUCAGUUGAUCAAUUCGAACAUGGUACCCCAUGCCCACGAUAUACUCAUCGUCACUGUUCCGAUUCGCCCGACCCCAACGACUCAGCUACUUCCUAUCACCACCUGGUACUCCUCUUUGCUUGAUGCUCCUGCGCUGCUUAUUGUGCUCGCCGUUGCUGAUGUAUUUAGUUUCAUGCAUUAUGGUUCAGUGGGUGUCUAGAAGACUUGGUAGAUUUUAGUAAAAUGACCUAUAUAUUGGUUUCAGAACAUAGCGAGACUAUGUCCUGAUAUAUUUGGCUACUUUUAUCUUUUUGCAUCAGUUCUGAGUCAGGGUGGACACGGUCCGGGCCGGUCCGGUCCCUGACCGAGCCGCCGUUUGGACCGGCCGGCGGCGGACUGAACCGGACCGGACCGAGCAGCGCGGCGGUCUCCUUUUCCUGCACCGGACCGGCGGAGGUAAAGCUCGGGCCGGACCGAGAGGACCGCCCAUGGCGGCGGCGGCGGCGACGUGGUGACCACGGCAGCGGCGACAGACGACUCCGGCGAGCUCCUGGACAUGAUGAAGACAACUGCCUGGUCGAGAUCGGCGACGACGAGACGCGGUGGCGCCGGCCAGGGCGCAUCUGUUAGCCGCUCAUGUUUGUUGCUGCAGCUUUUCCGUUACAUGCAAGUAUUUUAGCGCGUCCAUGAGCCCACGAUUUCGUGUGUGGUGGCAUUGCUGUGAUUAGUGGAUCAAUUUUGACGUGGAGAUAGUCGUGGGAUGACGCCUUAAUUAACGGAUCGAACCUCGCUUCUUUUGCGGUUUCUGUUAUC